GUCUCUGCAUCUCUUGGGUUCUUUCUCUCUCGCUCUCGUUCUUCAGUCUCUCGAGUUCUUGCUCUCUCUCUUGUGUUGUGUAUGAUGGGUGAAUCUCUUUUGGCAUCCCAUAGCUUUACUCAGUGGUGUGAUGGGUGAAUUUCUUUUGGCAUCCUACAGAUUUACUGAGUGGUGAAGGCUUCUCAAAAAAAUCAAAAUCACUUUAACAUAGUUGAAGUGCAGUCAUUCAUCAGGCAAAGUUGAAACGUUCAAGGACAAGGUAGACACCAUCCAUCGACAAGAUAUUUGCAGACUUGGUUGUUAAGCAUAUACAACUUGUGAAAGAGCAAAUUACAUUUAGUUGUUAUAAAGUAUUAGUUGUUGGAAAAAUGGAGCUACAACAUGAGGAUGGAACCUUUGGCGAAAAAAUAGUUGCAGAAAUAUUGAAUGUAAUUGUUAAAUAUUGAUAACAUUGCACUUUGGCAGACUUUGAAAUCUAAAAUUAUUUUGAAAUGUAA